ACCUGGGUGGCUCAGUCCGUUGAGCGUCUGACUUCGGCUCAGGUCAUGAUCUCGAGGUUCGUGGGUUCAAGCCCCACGUCGGGCU
rnacentral:tRNA from 1 species